UACGGUUCGCCAACACUAUCCAAAUAAAUAAUGAGCGACAAGCUUAACAUCGACGUAAAAAUCUUGCUUAUAAAAGCAGUUCUCUGUUGUAAUGUUUAGUUUAUUUUGAAUCUUUAUUCGUUGUUAGUAUUUAUUUUACAAUUUACAAGAAAUCUCUAAAUUUUACAAUAUUUUAUUACAGUUAUUCUUAUUACAAAUUCAUCGAAAGAAAAUCUAUACUAUACUAUACCCAAGUAACCACUAAGCCGUUAAAACCGGCUUUAUUUCGGUUUUAUAGUCGCAUAAAAAAGUUGGUUACAAUGUUAGUAAGCCCUAAAUUAUGAUUUAGUGCUGCUCAAAAGCCGCUUUUGGCGAAUUAUUUGGCUGAUAUACUGCAUGCCCCUACCUAUUUUUCCACGCCUAUGCCAAAAUGUCAAAAAUUUUAGACGAGUGGGGAAGGAACAAAAAAAAAUGAAAUGAAAAAUAUUUAUUUACAUUUUAAUUCAUUCUUUCCUUUUUCUUCCCAUUGGAGAUUUUAUUUUUUGGUAAUUAUAUUAAUUUCCGGAUUUGAACGCUUGCUGCGUUUGGAGGAAGUAUGUGGUUUCGGGUGGCCGAUGAGUUAGCCAUCUGAUCUACCUCAGAAUUGGUUAGAUAUGUGUCUUGAGAAGGGUUAAUAAACAGAAGGAUCCUGUUUGCCUACAAUUCAAGGGCUGGGUAGCAUGAAAAUGGAAAUAUGAAACAUCGGUAAUAACAUGGAAGUUUUUGUUUUUAUCGGGGUAUUUACGAAUCCAUUCUUCAAGUGCCUACUAAUAAAUAUGACUAUAGACUAAAUCUACAGCGUCUACAGCUUACGAAUCAUUUAUCUGGCAUACAUACUCCAUGCAAUAUGCUGCAGUUCUCUAAACAAAUGGUAAUUAUGUUACUAAUAGCAUACAUCACAGGUUUAAAAAAAAUCUCUGCUGCAAAUGCGAGUAAAAGAGACAGGUUAUGGAAUUCUAUGCGUUAUUGUUGUUGAUUUCACAUAAACGUCAAAGAUUGUAGCCCCAAAUUGGCAAUGAUAGUUCCCUUAUACGGCUUGUAUCAACAGGGCUUCUUCGAAGCGUUAUAUACCGAUAUACGACUUCUUUUACUGCUUAAAGUUUAUACUGCCAAUAAGCACUUGAAAAUCAUAUAUACAGCUUUUAGACACUGAAAAGCUGAUAUAUGGUUAACAUAAGGCUUAUUAAAGUGCUUAAUGGUUUCCUGGGUAUAUAUAUAUACAAUACAAUUCAAUGUUCUACAAUAUUUUUUUUUUAACAGGGAAAAAAAUCACAUUUUUUUUGUGAGAUGCAAAAAAAACUUACUUCUUUACCAAUCAUCAUUGCAAUUUGUACACAGAAAGAAAAAAAAUUGUGUUACUGAGAACAUUGCGCUUUGAUUUUAACAGUUGGUCAGUUUUGGUAAUUUUGAGUAACGAAACAUCAACUGUGACAAUAAAACUCUAAAUACAAAAGUUUCUUUUUAAACAAAAAAUUGUUAUUUUGAAUGCGAGAGUUUUUCAAAUGACUAAUCAAAAAAUAUCAAAUAGUAUCCAAAUCUUCUUGAAGCUUGGCAACACUAGACAAAAAUUAAAUCCAUUUGGCACCUAUCCGAGCUGUCAAAUAAUUCCCGCUCUCUCCCCAAAAAUAUUCACGACUAAAUUGCGUUUCGAAUUACUGACCGGGAUUCGGCAUUUUUAGUGAUUUGUCCGCAGUGUUCCUUCAGCUUCCGAUACACUCCAAAUCCCGGCAAGAAAAAAUCAUCCGCCGUGCCAAUAAUAGGUAGAUGGGGCUCUGAAACUGAUCGGCGAUUACGGAAUGGAGGAGUGUAUGAAAAGGUGAAGGAGGUCACCGGAAGGAGGAAGUAAUGGCAGAUGUCACUGACUUCACAAUUCGAAGCUGAGCGCCGCAAAAAAUAUUGUUUUCAUUGAUUACAACUUUAAGCUACAUGGAGAUGAAGGACGAACGGAUGGCCUUGAAAUUUCUUGAAGCAUAUUUGAUGUUCUCGGUUAGGGAGAGAUAUCACCAAGGACAUCCCCAAAUAGCAGAAGAGAAAGCUGGACUACAACGCAGCGGAGGAGAUAUUUAAAAAAAAGUAUCAUUUACACAACUAUGCAAGAUAAUAUAUAAUAAAUAAAUAAAAACGAAAUGAUGGCAUACAGCAUUUUAUUGCUUUGAAUAUAUCACAGUUGAUUUUAAUAUAAAAUAUACUUUUAGUUUUGAGAGGAAAAUGUAAUUUUAAGAGUAGAAUUCACAUGUAGUCUUGAGAGGAAACUGUUAUUUUGAAAAGCAAAAUACACAUUUAGAUUUGAGAGGAAAAAGUUAUUUUGACAAGUUUGCUCUUGUCAAAGUCUUCACCGAAGUGACAAUUUUUGCAUUGGUAGAUUCAACAAUGUUAUACUUUCUACACUGAAAAUAAUGUUGAAGUAACAAUAACCAUGGAACAGCGCUUAAAAUUACUAUUUAAGUUUGUUUUUGACAUAAACGAAAACAUAUUUAAAAUAAAAACACAUUUGUAAAUUUUACUACACGCAUGGUUCAAAUAACAACAUUAUGUGGUGAAGAAAAUUUACAAAACAAAGAACAUUCUCAGGCCAACAUCGAGAAUGAUAUGGGUGGCAAAUCAAUUUAGCUGCGAAUAAUUAAGUACUAAUCUGCUCAAUCGAAUACCUUGGGGAUAAUGACUAUCGUUCUAUUCGUCACUGAAAGUGGUUCGUAUGGAUUCAUUUACUGGCCCGGAAUAUUCAUCAAGGAAGUGCAGGUUCUCAGGUAUUACGAGAAUCAAGAAUGUAAUGACCAAAGUGAUCCGACGUAGGUGCCAUACAAGUAACUGCUGUCGCUGAAAGAUUCCUGUUGCUGCCGAAAACUUAGAAAAUCCGGAGGAAUGAUGGAUUGCAAUUUUUAUUCGUACCUACUCGAACAUGUUUUAUCACAAAUAUUCUUUAUCAUGCGCCAAUGUUCUAUUAGUUAAACAAUAGAUGCUAAUAAAUGUUCAAUGCAAACAAUAAAUAAACCAAAAUUAAUCAUUUUCUUAUUCCCUUACAUAAAUGAAAAUAUCAAUUGUUAUACUAUUGUUAUACUAUGGAUCAAAAAUGGGCAUGGUUAAAAGUACCGCAAUAUUUACUGCUGCACAUAGUAGUAUUAACAAAAAACAUGGUACAAUUGGACAAGAAAUGUCAAAAAGACACCAUAGUAAAAUCAACUGCAGUUAUGGUUGAUUCAAGUGUAUGCUGUAGUCUGCACAAAUCAAGUGGUAAAAUGUUUUUAAUUUUACCCUCGAUUUGGUAGAUAUUACCAUGCCGCUUCUUUCAGUGUACUGAAAAUCACUAUUGCCUGAUUUUCUCAAAAUUGCACGCGGCGAACCUUUCAUGAAAGGUACCGCCGCGCUUUCUGCACCCCGUUUACUUGAUUCUUAUGGAUGAAUAGCAUUGCGGUGUAUCGUUUGUCGCGGCCGUACCUUUCGACAGUCAUUCGCCGCGUGAAGUUUUGUGCAAGUACCCAUUUGGGAACAUUACAAACGCCGCGCAGUGUAUCAUAUCCAGAAAAUCUGACAAUAACUAUUUU